CCUACGGGAGGCAGCAGUGAGGAAUAUUGGUCAAUGGGCGGGAGCCUGAACCAGCCAAGCCGCGUGAAGGAAGAAGGCGCCAAGCGUCGUAAACUUCUUUUGUCGGGGAACAAAGGGCGCCACGUGUGGCGUUGUGAGUGUACCCGAAGAAAAAGCAUCGAGUAACUCCGUGCCAGCAGCCGCGGUAAUAAGGAGGAUGAGAGCGUUAUCCGGAUUUAGUGGGUUAAAAGGGUGCGUAGGCGGUCCGGAACUUCAGCGGUAAAAGUCCGGGGCUCAAACCCGGCGAGCCGUUGAAACUGUCGGACUAGAGGCGGCGAGAGGUACGCGGAAUGCGCGGUGUAGCGGUGAAAUGCAGA
rnacentral:rRNA from 1 species